rnacentral:lncRNA from 1 species
AUUUCCUUCUCCCUCCCAUCAAAAUCUGUCAAGUCAUUUGGGGCAGGGCCUAGGCCCUCCCCCUAUGGCAACUCUUGUAACACAGUUUGUACAGCAAGCCCACACCUACUCUGAAAAGGCCACACCUCCUAGUAGUGCCUCUCUAAUGACCAAACAGUCAAAUAUGAGCCACUGGAGGCCAUUCCUGAUCAAACCAUCACACAGACAUACAAGAAAGUCUCAAUUUAACACCAAAGAAGAUAGCCUUAUAUCUUUGUACAUGGAAUGCUCUAAAUUCUGUGGGAUCUCCUUCCACCAUAAGAUCAGAGUCUGUGCUAACUGAGAGCUGUGUGAAGGAGCCCUGCAGGCAGGCCUUCUCUUUGCUGGAGGGGACACAUCAGAUGUGACCAAGGAUCCAGAGGUAAGAGUGGCUUUCUUUUUUUAUCUGUGUUGAUUUGACCUCAGUUCCUGGUGGUUUUGCUCAUGUUCUUGUCUCGGAUUCUGUUACAGUCAUUGUGGCUCCCAUUACUACCGAAGUGACAUUAGUGCCUGAGUGAGGCCUUAGCACACACAGAUACUUGGUUAGCACCAUGCCAAAGUUAGUGCUUGGGCAGUUAGUGUUGAGCCCACAAGGCCAUAGAGAAGUGCUUGCUCAGUGUAUGUGAUGUGUCCUGGUUUAUUUUUGGAAGGGACUCAUUCUUCAAAUGCCACAUGCUAGCUGAAGAUGUAACAGGGAUCUCUGGGACAGAUGUGCCCAGAGGGAAACAUAUGUAAGAGAGGAGACUGUUGCUUUUGGACAGGACACCUGCACAUUCCCCCACAUGUCUGGGAUACCAAGAGUUCAGAUAGAACUCAAAGCCACUGCUUGAGUUGUGACUGUGGGUUGCAGGGUGUGACCACUGCCAUGAGACAGAGCUGCACUGGGAACCUGGGGACGUCAUACCUGGC